rnacentral:rRNA from 1 species
UGAACGCUGGCGGCAUGCCUUACACAUGCAAGUCGCACGGCAGCACGGGUGCUUGCACCUGGUGGCGAGUGGCGAACGGGUGAGUAAUACAUCGGAACAUGUCCUGUAGUGGGGGAUAGCCCGGCGAAAGCCGGAUUAAUACCGCAUACGAUCUACGGAUGAAAGCGGGGGACCUUCGGGCCUCGCGCUAUAGGGUUGGCCGAUGGCUGAUUAGCUAGUUGGUGGGGUAAAGGCCUACCAAGGCGACGAUCAGUAGCUGGUCUGAGAGGACGACCAGCCACACUGGGACUGAGACACGGCCCAGACUCCUACGGGAGGCAGCAGUGGGGAAUUUUGGACAAUGGGCGAAAGCCUGAUCCAGCAAUGCCGCGUGUGUGAAGAAGGCCUUCGGGUUGUAAAGCACUUUUGUCCGGAAAGAAAUCCUUGGCCCUAAUACGGUCGGGGGAUGACGGUACCGGAAGAAUAAGCACCGGCUAACUACGUG